GUUCCAGUCUCAGAUUUCCUAGUGCUGAUGUUAUUCCAGCACUGAAGAAAGGUAGAGCAGCCCGUUGCAAUGGACAGAAAUAUUCCAUCAAUGAGCCCAGCGUGGAUCCGGGGAUAAAGCCAGAUGAUGCAUGAGGAUCAUAAGAUGAUGAAACAAGCUCAGCCCCACGUGCCUCAGUACAGGUUUCGCAAGAGGGACAAAGUGAUGUUCUACGGGAGGAAGAUCAUGAGGAAG